rnacentral:tRNA from 1 species
GCCGGGGUGGUGAAACUGGUAGACACGCUGGAUUCAAAAUCCAGUGGCUUUGCGGCCGUGCCGGUUCGACUCCGGCCCUCGGUACCA